UACGUAGGUGGCAAGCGUUAUCCGGAUUUAUUGGGCGUAAAGAGAACGCAGGCGGUCUUUUAAGUCUGAUGUGAAAGCCUUCGGCUUAACCGGAGUAGUGCAUUGGAAACUGGGAGACUUGAGUGCAGAAGAGGAGAGUGGAACUCCAUGUGUAGCGGUGAAAUGCGUAGAUAUAUGGAAGAACACCAGUGGCGAAAGCGGCUCUCUGGUCUGUAACUUACGCUGAGGUUCGAAAGCGUGGGUAGCAAACAGG
rnacentral:rRNA from 1 species